UGGAGCAAAACCACCAGAUUUCCCUCCAAGUUUCCAGACCCAAAAAACAAGAAAGAUUUGAGCAUUUGUGUCCUCAACGCUCCUCUUCUUCUUCAUGUCUUCCUCCUGCUCUUGUUCCUCUUUGAUAUUCCUGCUUUAUCUCCUCCGAGGAGAGUAGGUGUGAGUAAACAAAUACAUCUCUCUCUCUUUCAUGUUCGUGUGUAUAAUGUCAGUAAACUGCUGUUUGUUUUGGUGUUUGGGAUCUAGAGGUCUAACUGGAUUAGUAAGAUAAACCUCCUCAUUUCCCCAAAGCUUCAGGCCUCUCUCUUUACUCCGCUGGAUUGAAGCUUUUCAGGCUUUAUGUGCAGGCUUCUUCAGGAAACGAUGGCGGUGAAUACAUCAGAAUAGUCAAUGGAUUAAAAACGCCGUCCUUCGCUUUAUUCGCCGUUUGUUUUGUCUUUGCUGUACAUAUUGUUCCGAGGGAUUUGUCCAUGUUCUCAUGUGUCACAGAACUGGGUGAGAAUAAAUAUGUUCAGUAAUUUCAAGAAUACAAUGAAGUAAAGCAGCAGGUUGUGGAAGUGAAAUGUACUUUUAGUGGGAGGAACUUUGACAACCGUGUAGAAAUAGUGCCAACUCAAAAAAUCUGUCAAAACACACGUCUAAUCAAGAGGAACUCCAUCAAAGUUUCAACACUAUUCUCUCAGUUAUACUCAGAUUUCUUUAUUAUCGGCUUUAGUGAAGACGAUGAAGAGGCUGUUACUGGAUUAGAGAGAAAAACAAUCAUUCUGAUCUUAGUUAAUGACUAAAUAAUCCCUUUUUUCUUCUUUACCCGACAUACAUGGGAACAACAGUUUCAAAAACAGCACCCCCUGCUGGAAUAGAGAGGUUAUUUACCAAUUGAGAGCACAGGAUCAUAAUAUGAUACUUAAAGAUACUCAAGAAAUCGAAACAAAGUGGUCAAUUUUCUGACAUAUUUCAAACUGAUAUGCAUUUAUAAUAGAAAUAAAAAGGUUUCCGUCCGUAAUUUGAAUUCUGAAUAUUACAAACUACAACACAGGGUCUGAAAUGAACUCCCACCACAUGCCAAAUGUGAGAAAAGUUUCAUUUGGUGGCUAAUCUGCAGACUAUGGAAGCGUAUUACAUUCACUUCCAAAAAAGAAAAAAUGUUUUGGGGGGGGGCUUUUGUGAGUAUUUUUUUUCUUUUUUGUGGACUAAUUUUUUUCAUCUUUCUGUUUUUCAAACUAUUUUUUUUUCAGAUAGAUUUUUCUAUUUUCUAUUUUUCUAUUAGUUAAACAUUGGGUAUGCCAAUCUUGAGAUGCCUGUGCUAAGAAGACAAACUUAUUAAAUGUAAAACUUACAUAAAAAAGAAAACUAUCUAAAAAAAAGAAAAAUCAGUAUGAAAAAUAGGGGAAAAAAUAUUACAAAAAAACAGAAAAGAAAAAGAAAAUUAGCCCCCCAAAAAACAUAAAAAAAUCAAUCUAAAAAUCAGUUGUUUUUUUGUGAGUGUAAUGCUUCCGUAGCAGACAACCGUGCAUCAUGUGUCUGGUAAAUGUGUGUAUGGUUACAAUAGUAGUUUAAUAAAAGGAUAAAACUUCAGAGUUUUUACCACAUUUUGGCGCAUUUUAGAACUUUGCAGGAUGGCGCUGGUGCAUGCAAACAUUCACAACAACAGCAGCUACCUUGUUCUUCAAAUUGUUCUCCCAGAUCAGGACGGCCAAUACACAGGUAAGUAGAAAACGUAACCCAUCACCCAGAAUAUGAAUAUUUUUUAGUGUAUUAGAUUUUUUAUAAGUUGAAUCACAUUAAGACCCCACAGAAUAUGUCAAACAUACAAUGCACUACUCACAUACAGUCCAACCAUUAGCCUUGUGCUAAUUUUCCAGCUCUACAAAUGUUUAAAGAUGUGACUCAUUAAAUGUAAAUAAAUGAAGAUGUCAGUACUGUACCUUCAAGCUGUACUGACAAAAUAAGACACAUUUGGCAUGCCUGCAUGCUUGAAUUUUAAUGUUUACAUAUAUUUUUAAAUAUUGUUUAUAUCAUUACGUAAUUCACUUUGAAUAUCGACCCCCAGGAUUUUAUUUUUAAGCUUCUUGAAUAAGACUUCACCUGAUUGGCUCAACACAUUAAUUGCAAGUCCAAGGUUUGUGAGACUGAGAAUCAGUUUUAAAGCUCAUAUUUGAGGACAGUACUUAGUUUGGUUUUUGAAGUAAUGACUGACUAAGUGAUGUUUUCUCACAGCUCUGCAGCUUUAAUGAACCAGCGUCCUCCUCAGCUCUGACAGGUGUGUGUGUGUGAGGCUGGUGUGGGAGGAAACUGGAAGGAACAGGAGCGAACUGGAGCAUCAAGAAUCGAUUCGCUCUCUUUCUCCAUUAACUCUGAUUUCUCUCCAGGAAGACAUGAACCAGAUCAGACGACGGGGGAAAUCACUCUGCCUGCCUGUGUAUGUGUGUGCGUGUGCAUGUGUGUGAGUCCUGGAUCUGUGUGUUCCUGUUCUUCUGUCAAAGUUUGAUGACUCCAAACCGGCCCUCCCUUCUCCAGAGGGUAAUUUUAGGUUCAGGACUCGGGUCGAGGUCAGCUACAGUAAAUUAGCCCGUGUUAGUCUUCCAGCUCAGGUGAUCUGUGGAGCUAAAGGGAGGGCGUGCAACCAGUGAAGGUCCUUUCAAGGACUCAAACACCUGUGAAUGUGUCAGAUAUGUACACCACCAUGCAUUCAUUUGAAUGAUAAUGUAAUGCAAAUACACAUGUAUAUGAUUAUGAUGUGUGGGUGUCAUGCACCUCUAUUUAUGGCGGCUGCCUCUAUGAAGAACAUAAAUACAGAUUUAAUGCUUCCCUUUGAUGAGAGUUGAAGAUGCCUCCAUUCAUGCUUGUCAUCUCCGUGUUCGUGAAGCUCGUACGUUUUUCUUUCAUGUUAGCUGCUGAAUCAAAUCUGUGUUUUACAAGAUGCUUGUUAGAUAGACAGAUAGCUGCGAAAGAAUACGGAGUAUUUCAAGAAAUGUUGAAAAGAUUCUGAAGGCAGGAUGGGAGCUGCUCUGGUGUCUGUUUGUGGUCGGAGUAGUGCUAAACCAUCAGGGAUUGCGGUUCUUAUGGAGAGCAAAAUCAUGCAAGAUGAUGUCUACUCCCAUUUCCAACCCUAAUUAUCAGACAACUAUUGACGUGUCUCUGCAUUCGAGCGAGGUUUAUUCAGUUUAAGAGUCUGCACAAGUUUUAUUGGACCUUUGGUGAGUUUUUUAGACUUGACCUGAAUAGGGUGACCAUACGUCUUCUUUUACCUGGAGGCCAUCUUGCUUGCACAUGACUUUUCAGUUCUGCCCAUAAAUUUUCAAUAGGAUUGAGAUCAGGGCGCCACUUUGUAACCAGUUUGGCAGUAUGCUUAGGAUCACUGUCCGUUUGGAAAACCCAUUUGCGCCCAAGCUUUAACUUCCUGGCAGAUGUCUUGAGAUGUUGCUUCAGUAUUUCCACAUAAUGUUCUUUCCUCAUGAUAUCAUCUAUUUUGUGAAGUAUAGAAGUCCCUCCUGCUGCAGAACAACCCCACAACAUGAUGCUGCCACCUCAUUAUUCUGACAUUUAGCAAAUAAAAAAGAAUUUUUGGUAACCCUAAUUGACCAAAAACAGGAAAAGUUUUAAUGUCCCAGUUGUUUAUGAAACUAAUAUUGAUGAGUUUUUAUGAUAUCUCAAAACAAAAAAUACUAUUAGCGAUGACUUUUUAGUGUCUGUUGAGCAGGUAAGGAAACGGUUGUGUGUGUUUUCUUUUUUUUUUAAAUGAAAUAUGUACUAAAAAAUUAUGAAUUUGAUUGUCAAAAGUCCAGAAUAAUGAGUUUUUUUUUUUUUUUAAAUUAAAGACAAGAUAUUUUAGUCCAGAGGGGGCGCCAAAGUUGACACACAUCAGAAGUUCCUUACAGGAGCUUUAAAGGCUUAGCUGUUUCUCUGCAUUUUUACUGUUUCGUUUUAGUUUAACUACAAUACGAAGACCUCUUUUGGUUUGGAGGUUGUUUAUCACUAUCUCUAUACACUAAAAGUACAGAAAUAUCAACUAUAACACCAAAGGCAUCUUUGGGCGUUAGCAGCCAAUGGUUGCUGUGGGAAAUGGCGCUCCAGUGAUACUAAUCCUGGGUUCAGACUUCAUGGUAUUUUUGACUAUCACAGAUGGUCAUUGUGUUUGAUUUGGCUAUUAAAGAGUCUUACUUGCUCGCGGUGACUAAACCGACCAACUGUUGCUUUCCAUUUUUUCUUUUUAACACCAUGUGGGAUGUCAAGGGAAGGAGUUUAUGGGCCAACUCUUCAGAACAAGAAUGUAAACAACCAGGAGCUUUUGCUCAAAGACGUGUGAAAAGGUUGGAGUUUUUAUCGAACAGCUUGACAAAACUCCUGUUUCACAAUCUCAGCAGUCGGACUACAAGUGCUGUAGAAGGUGGAAUAACCGGGCCGCCUGAGUCCGAUCUCACCUUGUGUCGCUCCCCAAAAAACAGUGUUCCAGUUCAGGACUCUGCUGGUGAAGUUUGGCAGUAAGAAGUUAGUUUGCAGCAAGAUUUUUUUUCCCUUUGAGGAUUUUCUUUUCGUGUUGCAUUGUGUACGUAGUCGUAGUGCUCAUGGGAAAUGCAGUUUCAUCCAUGAGAAAAAAUAAAAUUUUCGAGGAAGUCGCAUGUUGAAGCUGGGAAUGAUGAUCACACCUGAGUUGACAGCGUUCCAAUUUACAAGUGGGUCUUUUUAUGGGUCUUUUCAGCUGAACUGUUUCCAACCCCAUACAACCGUCAACAGCAACAGCAGGUCCGUGACAGACGUCAGAAGUGUCUACAACUGCUGCUCGGCAUUUUGGAGCAAGAAGAUGGAGAAUCGUACAGCAUUGUUUUUGUUGUACAUGAUGUACGCGCUACUUUUUCUGCAGAUGAGAUGCACGCUACUCCUGUUCUCUGGUGUUUUUGUUCUGGAGUUACGGGGGUGUGGCGCAUGUGCACAUGCAUCGUCUGAUCAUACUCCGACUACGCUGGUUACGUGGUAGAGAAAAUCGAAUUCCAAUUGCAUUAUCUGGGUGUCUCAAUCGGAGUUCUCCGAACUUCUCAAACUUCGAUUAUAGUCAGACUAAGGUGUUUACAUGCACUUCAGUUGUCCGGUCUCAAUCGGAAUAAGGCAAUAAUUCCGAUUUCUCGAGUGUCAUGUAAACGUACUGACUGUUACUCUUUACUGUUGAUGCACUGCGCUGCCAUCUUGGAUUAUGACGUUGUUGUCAAGUCAGGGUUGGCGAGGAUCAACCAACUUUCUGAGUCAGAAAUCUGACUUCAGGGGAAUGAUGAAUUGAGAUGAAUUUCUGACUUGGAGCUCAGAAAUCCCGACUUCUGCUUACAACUGGAACGCAGCAUCAAUCUCCUCAUGUUGCCUUUUAAUCAAUGAAAAUAGAGAAUCACGUUUUCCUGUGGUGCUCAAAGUUUACAGCUCACAGAGAUGUUUCUUGGCCCUUAUUUGAGAUAUUCGCCCUGAUUUUUCAUCUUCCAGCCUCUCCCUCUACAUUUGCAUCGCCCACCAUUGUAAUCUCACAGCCUUAAACUUCGCUUUAAUACUAUAUCGAGUUAAGCCGACUCUGACGCCGAAUUUGUCGCCUUUGAUCAACUUAGCAGAUUUAGAGGUAGACGCACUUUCAGCUCACUAGAGGUUGGACAUCCUGCUGGAUUUGUGUCUCGUCCUACUUUCUUCAUUUUUCUUCAAACAUUUUUCAAAAGCUGUCUGAAAACAUGACCUGGUAUCUUAUUUGAUUUAACAAAGCUGUAGUCGUUUUUUUGAAACACCUGUGAUGCAGAUUUUGACUCACCGUCUGCCAAAUAUUCCCUCUAUAUUGUUGGUCGUGUUGUUUGAAUGUACUCACUCAUCACAGUGGGAUGAUCUCCAGAUCUCUGUCUGUACAGUAUCUGCGUUUAAGCUGCAGGUUCAAUCAAACCUAAAUGUUAAAACAUGGAGUGUGAAUCUUAAUGACGUUCAAGACUAAGAAAAGACGCACAGGGUCUGCACGUCUUGAUGGGAUGCUAUGUGCUGGACUAUUUCCUGACUCUCUGUAGGGUUGCCAGGCAACCAGCGUUGAAUCCAGGAAAUUACUGCUCCCAGCCAACCCCAUAAAACAGAGAUUUGUCAUUUUUUACACUUUGGAUUUUGUACAGCUGAAAUUUAUAUGACACAUGUUCAUUUAUAUUUUGUAAGUGAGCCAGGAGAGCUCUUUGUCCCAGUUCCAGGCUCUGUGCUAAGCUAACACUCUGCUGGCUGUAGCGAUACAUCUCUACCAAACAGAAACCAGAGUGGGUUUGGUUAUCUGACUCUAACAGAGAGGCAGGUAGUUUAUCGCCCCAAAUAACGCUCUUCUUCAGUAGAAAAGGGAGUGAAAAGAAAGAGAAUCUCAAAAUGAUGAGGGCGAAUGUCACAGGGUACGACAGUAAAACCAUUGAAACCCUUAAUUUGUACCCUGUG